CCGGGCGCGCGCCCCGGCCGCGGGGAGGCCGGGCUUGCAGGACUUCAUCCCCCGCGGGACGGAGCGGGUGCGCGCGGGCUGGUCUGUGCAGCGGCUCCUCCUGGCGAGUCACGGGCAGCCCAUGGUAGGAAAAUCCAGUCCCUCUCUUAAAUCUACCUCCUUCAAGAGAGACCAUCCGCUUGCUCCUGGGAUGCACAUGCAAGGAAAGGUGGAACUCUGACAAAACCCAAAAUCUCCAUCAAGCACACAUUCCCAGAUUUUGGUGGCCAAAGAUCUGUCCUUCAGUGAGAGAGUAACUAAGUCAUCCCAGCCGCUGCCAUCUGACCAGACAGUCUGCCCAGCCUCCUUCUGCCCUGGCCACCAUCCCAUGUGCCAGCCUCCUCAUUGCCCUCUUUUGCUGCUCAGCCCACUCUUUGCACUGUGGUAAGUACUUAACUGGCAUUGGAUUUGCAUAACCCUAUGGCAGUGGUCGGCAAACUCAUUAGUCAACAGAGCCAAAUAUCAGCAGUACAACGAUUGAAAUUUCUUUUGAGAGCCAAAUUUUUUAAACUUAAACUUCUUCUAACGCCAC